UCGUAUAUAUGUAUGUAUUAGGCUACUGUAUCUCUCUCCCCUAAAAUAGUAUAUUACUGAUCAUACCAUAUUGUAUAUUUAUUUUUUCAUAGCUCUCAAUGAUAAACCAUUUAGGGGACUGAUAAUUUCGAGAUGGUCUUAUCAAAUUUCGGAAUUUAUUUAUUGUAUAGAUAAAGAUGAAAAAGUAAGUCUGUAUAUCUAGUCUUCGUUUGUAGGCAUAACCUUAUGGUAUGGUCCGUAACUCCGUAUGAUAUUUUUGAAAUUGCUAGCUCCUAUCGAAGGACACCUGUGCGUACCAAUCUGUGUGCACCUAUGUCUCUCGAUG
rnacentral:lncRNA from 1 species